UACGUAGGGACCGAGCGUUGUCCGGAUUCAUUGGGCGUAAAGAGCUCGUAGGCGGCUGCUCAAGUCGAAUGUGAAAACUCGAGGCUCAACCUCGAGCCUGCAUUCGAUACUGGGCGGCUAGAGUCUGGUAGGGGGAUCUGGAAUUCCUGGUGUAGCGGUGAAAUGCGCAGAUAUCAGGAGGAACACCAGCGGCGAAGGCGGUGCUCUGGGCCGGAACUGACGCUGAGGAGCGAAAGCGUGGGGAGCGAACAGG
rnacentral:rRNA from 1 species